rnacentral:rRNA from 1 species
GACGAACGCUGGCGGCGUGCUUAACACAUGCAAGUCGAACGAUGAAGCCGGAGCUUGCUCUGGUGAAUUAGUGGCGAACGGGUGAGUAACACGUGAGUAACCUGCCCUUGACUCUGGGAUAACUGCGGGAAACUGUAGCUAAUACCGGAUACGACCCUCGGAGGCAUCUCCUGGGGGUGGAAAGAAUUUCGGUCAAGGAUGGACUCGCGGCCUAUCAGCUAGUUGGGGAGGUAACGGCUCACCAAGGCGACGACGGGUAGCCGGCCUGAGAGGGUGACCGGCCACGCUGGGACUGAGACACGGCCCAGACUCCUACGGGAGGCAGCAGUGGGGAAUAUUGCACAAUGGGCGCAAGCCUGAUGCAGCAACGCCGCGUGAGGGAUGACGGCCUUCGGGUUGUAAACCUCUUUUAGCAGGGAAGAAGCGAAAGUGACGGUACCUGCAGAAAAAGCACCGGCUAACUACGUGCCAGCCGCCGCCGUAA